rnacentral:lncRNA from 1 species
AAUCACCUCCCCUUGAGUGUAGAGAAGACCUGUGACUACCUUUUGACCUCAGCAAAACAUGGCAUAGGCGAUGGGACAUUACUCCCAUGUUUACAUCCUGUCAUAUGGCAAAGAUGAACAGAUUGUUGCAGAUAUAUUAAGGCCCGUAAACAUUUGACAUUAAGUUCAUCAGAAGGGAGAUUAUCCAGAGUGGGAGAUCAUUCAAAGAAAAAGGCAUUCUUCUGCUGACCUUGAAGACUCAGUCACCAUGAGUUCCAUAGCUACAGGGAGAUGCUGCUGCCAAGAAUGGUGUGAAUAACACCAAGAAAAAUGACGUGAAUAAUGCCAAGAAUAACACCCAGCAGAAGUCUGCUUCAAGAAACCUUAUAACCACCUGCAGUUUUGUAUUUUCAAAAAGAAAUUUCCAGGAGUCUCAGAUUAUAUAACUUAUUGCAAUCGGUUCAUAUUUUUUCUUAGAAUAAGACCUCAAGCCUCAGAUCCGAUCCUAACCUUGGUCAACACCUCCAUGCUGCCUUGCGAGACCUCAAGCAGUGGACCUAGUUAUGCCUAGGCUCCUUAGCCCACGAAACUGUGAGAUAAUAAAUGCAUGUUGUCUUAAUACAUGCAGCUUGGGGUGAUUUGUAAUGCAGCAAUAGAAAACAGAGUAUUUUAUCAGGGUGACUGCAGGUAAAUAUAUAGCUUUCUGUGCAUCUGAAUAAAGGGGAAAAAUAAUAGUACCUAAGAUGUGAUAAGGAUUAAAUGACUUAGCAUACAAAGUGCUUAGAACAGUUCCCAGCACACAGUCAAUAUCAUAUCAGUGUCUGCUCUUAUUAGAAUCUUGAUUUUGCA